CUCAACCAGUACUCCUCCUCUCACUCCCUCCGCCGUUCUCAACCACUCCCCGUCCCUCCGUCGUCGUCUCACUCUCACGCCACCGCCGCCGCCGCCGCCGGUCUGUGGGAUUUUAGGGUUUUCUUGGUCAAAAUCAACACUUCUUGCUUCAUCCAACCCAUUAUUAAGGUGCAGGCUUUGCGUCUUUCUUUGACAGUUAGAAACACGAUAGUGUCAUUUCACGUUGGUCUAGAGCUAGAAUAAGACUUGCUAAGAAUCUGAAUCUCUAAAAGAAAAUUGCUUAACCUUGUUCCCAAUAUAUCACCACUCUUCUUUCUCCUUAGUUCAGGUU